GAUGAACGCUGGCGGCGUGCCUAAUACAUGCAAGUCGAGCGAAUGGAUUAAGAGCUUGCUCUUAUGAAGUUAGCGGCGGACGGGUGAGUAACACGUGGGUAACCUGCCCAUAAGACUGGGAUAACUCCGGGAAACCGGGGCUAAUAGCGGAUAACAUUUUGAACCGCAUGGUUCGAAAUUGAAAGGCGGCUUCGGCUGUCACUUAUGGAUGGACCCGCGUCGCAUUAGCUAGUUGGUGAGGUAACGGCUCACCAAGGCAACGAUGCGUAGCCGACCUGAGAGGGUGAUCGGCCACACUGGGACUGAGACGCGGCCCAGACUCCUACGGGAGGCAGCAGUAGGGAAUCUUCCGCAAUGGACGAAAGUCUGACGGAGCAACGCCGCGUGAGUGAUGAAGGCUUUCGGGUCGUAAAACUCUGUUGUUAGGGAAGAACAAGUGCUAGUUGAAUAAGCUGGCACCUUGACGGUACCUAACCAGAAAGCCACGGCUAACUACGUGCCAGCCGCCGCGGUAA
rnacentral:rRNA from 1 species